UCCUGGAUAGCUCAGUUGGUUAGAGUGUGGUUCUGAUAAUGCCAAGGUUCGAUCCCUGUAUGGGAC